AUGGGGCGACGGGGCGGACAGCGAUGCCGGCGUUCUUCUCGAGCGAAUUUGACCUCGACCUCGACGGGGCAACGAGGUGGAAAGCGUCGCCGGCUUCCUCCUCCGGCGAAUUCGUUUGUCAGUAUAGCUGAGUCACCGCCCGACGCCGUUCUCUACUUAAUCCAUCGGACGCCGAAAGAAACCCUAGCUUAUUAUACCACAUGUAGAUGUGGCAAGGCUAUUUGUGCUCUAAGAAAACCAAGUUGGCUUGGAUCCCGGAAGCCCCGCUCGAGUCAGGUUGCGUGGAUAGAGAAGGGGCAGGCUUUAGGUCAACGGCCGCGCCGCCCGGCCCGUGGUCCAUACAAGCACGCUGCCGCCUAAGGGCAUGUAGUUGUUAGGCUGCCGUGGAUCGCCCUAAGCUGAUUCAGCUAGGGUUGACGGCUGGGAGCGUUAAGAAUCCAAAAUUACUCAGACCCGUCUAUGUUCUAAGGGGAUUAGGUUGGAGGCACCAGCCCGAUCUGUUUAGUCCUCCAUUUCAGCUUGGGUUUCUUUAGGGUUUCGGAGGAUGGGACAAGAAACUCCCAAACAGCUGCUGAUUUGGGGAAUCAUGGGUUGAUCAUGGUGUUGUUUGAGACACCCUCGGGCUUUGCAAUUUUCUAUUUUGACGGGAUCAGCCUCUACGAACCAGAUGCCAUGGAGAAUAUAUGGGCGCACUUCGUCACGGAAUAUAGGGCAAGCCAUGUCAUUUGGCGAAAAGACUUUCAAGUUUUUAAGGACAAGUCUGAUGCCAUUAACCAUGAUAGUGGUCUUAACAAUCAGCUUACUAACAUGCUCUUGAAGUGGUACCAACCUGGGCAGAAACUUGCUGUUGGCAAGAUUGAAUAUAAAAUAGUCAUUGAAGCAAACUUGGGAAUAUCCUGCCUGUUUGAUGAACCUGUAAUGGAGCUGAUGCGUGGGCUGAACUAUCUCAUGCAUAGUGUAGUUCCUGAAGAAAAAUCAAAGCUAGCCGAGGAGCACUGCCUCCAGACGAGUCAAGGGCUGAAAAUGCUCCUUCAUCGUUAUGGCUUUGAUAUAAAACCGGAGAUGGUUAAUGAUUGCAUUAUUGUGACAGCAUGCAACUUAUAUGAUUCUGAUUGUUGUUUAAAGAAUCAAUUUAAGAGUUUGCGCCUUGCUAGUCACUUCCUUCAGGAUGUGUCAUCCAUUAAUUUUCAAGACUGGGACAUAUUGAAACUUGCAACAGCUCUGAAGAUGGUAUGUUACCCUGAAGACGAUAUCUUGUUUGGUAAUCCUGAUGAGAUGUUUUCAACAGAUGAGUUAUCAAAGUUAGUGGCUGAUGCACAUAAAUACGAAGACAGUGGGAUCAUUAAAGGAGCUAUUUUGAGGCUCUAUAAUUUAGUGGUGUAUCUCCUUAAUUGUAAGGCAAAGUAUCAGAGGAGAUUGGCCUCCUUCGUCAAGGAGGCUAAAGAAUCAUAUGAAGCUGAGCAAGUUGUUAGAGAGAGGGGUUCCCUUCGAACUGAUGCUUUUGAAGCGGACAUACAAGUUGGGGUACAAAUGGUUGCAGGAUAA
rnacentral:rRNA from 1 species